AUGGCAUCUCGGGUGUCCCUCUCGGCGUCCUCCUCCGGCUCCUUGCCCCUCUCCCCUCCGCCGCCGCCGCCUCCUAGGCCGGUCUUGCUCAUUGGUCGUUGUGCCCGACGUGGUGGGCACGACGCGUGGUCCAAUCAUGUGGACCGAGGCUGCAACCCCCUCCCCCCUUCCUCUGGCGGUGGGCGAGGCGCCCUGGCAGACGCAGGCCGGCGUCGGGCGGUAGCCCCACAGGCGCGCUCCCUGACCAGGCCGGUGCGCCGCUCCCCUCCGGGCAGGUGGCCCAACAUCCUGCCGUCGUCGCGGCCGUCGAGGGGCCGGAUCCUGGCGAAGCUUGUUGGCUGCUGCUACAAUUGCGGGAGCGACAAGCACAUCUCGGCCAUGUGCACUAACCCGCCGGUCUGCGUGCGCUGUGACGGGGAGGGCCACAUCUCGCGGGAUUGCACGCGUCCGCGCCCCCGCCCCCGCAGUUCGUCUCCGGUGGAUCCUCCGCGACUUCCGCCGGCUCUCCGUCAUGGCCACGCCCCGCCGUCGUCUGGGGCGGCACGCACUCUGUCCCCGCCGCUUCCGCCUCCCCCUCCCGGGCCGCCGCCGGCGGGCGCAGUUCGGAUCGGUGUUCCGUGGAGUCGGGUGGUCAGCGCUGGGUCGGUGGGCAGCAUGGUGGUGCCCGGGCCGGCUUUCUCGGUUCCGUUCGAGCCGGUGGUUGCGGGUGAGGCGUCGCCCCCCAUGGUGGAUGAUCAGGUGGAUGUGUGCUUCCUGGAGUCGGGCCCCGACCUCCGGGCGCUCGAGAAGGAGCUCUCUCGGGCCGUGGUGGUGACCGUAGUUGGUGAUCGAGACGCGGCGGAUCUGGCUGCGGUGGCUGGAGUUCUUGUGCAGGAGUUUGAGCUAGCCUGGCUGGACAUGUCCAUUCGAGCAUAUUUCCCUGAGGAUUUUCCUUGUGUUGUGCCGUUCGUCGGAGAUCAGGAGCAGGUUGCUCAGGCGUGGGCGGGCUGGCACGCACCAGUUUGA
rnacentral:rRNA from 1 species